rnacentral:rRNA from 1 species
UUUUCUUUUAAAAUAAAAAUUUUUCAAAUUAUUUCAAUUUUCUUUUACAAUACUAUUUAACUAUUAUUAAAAUUAUUUUUUCUUUAAACAAUACUAAAACUUUUUUUUUUAUAAUUAUUUUUAAUAUUUUAAAUAUAAAUAACAUAAAUUAAUAAAUAAAAUCUAA